rnacentral:rRNA from 1 species
CAUGUAGGCGGAUCGGCCAGUCAGAGGUGAAAGCCCCGGGCUCAACCCGGGAACUGCCUUUGAUACUGCCGAUCUAGAGUCCGGGAGAGGAUAGUGGAAUUCCCAGUGUAGAGGUGAAAUUCGUAGAUAUUGGGAAGAACACCAGUGGCGAAGGCGGCUAUCUGGACUGGUACUGACGCUAAGGUGCGAAAGCGUGGGGAGCAAACA